AAGUCGUAACAAGGUUUCCGUAGGUGAACCUGCGGAAGGAUCAUUACAAUUCAGUAGCUUGCUACUGGUCGGGAGGUGCUGUAAGUCCGCAUAGUUUAAUUACUGAUGAGCGGCGAGCCCUCUGUCUGUACCCUUGUCUUUUGCGCACUCAUGUUUCCUCGGCGGGCUUGCCCGCCGACUGGACAAACUUAUAACCUUUUUAAUUUUCAAUCAGCGUCUGAAAAAACUUAAUAAUUACAACUUUCAACAACGGAUCUCUUGGUUCUG
rnacentral:misc_RNA from 1 species